CAAAAUUUCUAGUGUUAUUGCAAAGGGUCUGAAUACUUAAGUAAAUGUGAAAUUAUUUUUUUCCUUUAAAACAUUUUACAGAAAUGUCUUAAAUUCAGUUUUCACUUUGUCAUUAUGGGGUACUAGAUGUUGAUUAAUGAGAAUGAUUUAAAUUCUUUUUUUUUUUUUGAGUCAGAAGAUUUUAAUUAGGCCUUGAAAAGCUGCAUCUGACAUGGGACUUUUAUUAACACACCCCCAGGUUCACAGACAAGGUUUAGUAAAACACAUCUUAAGAUAUGCCAGUGCCAUUGAUUUGUCUUAUGAUACACACCAGUAAUGUCUUCUUCAAAGGAGUGCUUUUUAAAGAUGCUUAAUAGGCUUGUCUGUGAAACCAGUCCACAGUGUUUAAUAUUGUGACAACUGCAUUAUCUUUGGAAAGUAAUAUAAUUUUAAAUUCUUGAGGUGUAUAUAAAUUAUUAAAAGGAUUAAUGCAAACAUAACAAAUUUGCAAAUAAAGUAAAGGGGUUUAAGUACUUUCUAAAUACACUGUAAAUGUGGUCAUGCCUACUUUGAACUAAUUUGUCGUUUUUGUUGAUUUUGUUUUUCCUAGAUUGGACAUCUAAUUCAUCUUUAUUGGACAUCUAAUUCAUCUUUCAGCUUGCCUCUUAAAAACUGCCAGGAAACCCAAAAAAACACCGAUUCAACUAAAAAAAAAAGCCUAUAAUUUCUACCCAAAAAAAACGACCCAUUUUUUUACCCCACCCAGCCAAUCUGUUGCCCUAACCCCAAAACACUGACUUUCCCCAAAACAGAACGUCCCUUUAACUUUUUGCUUUGACAGAAAGAGUAAGAGCAGAACUACCUACAGCUCCAGUGUGCCCUGCUGCCUUGAGUGUCUUCACAAAGCAACGUUGAUUAGAGGACUGCGUUGGGAAAUCAACACCAUCAACACACACAAUAAUUUACUAUAGUUUUAAAAUUACAUAAUUCCUGUAGUCUUUUGGACUGCUUAUAAUAGAUAAUACACAUUACAGUACUUUUAAAAGUCAUUAAUAUAUCAGUAAAAAAAAAUUGUUUUUGCAAGUUCAUCUUUGAAACGUAUUACAUUUAUAUCUGAGUCUUAUCACAUUUGCCUAUACUCUACUAAUUAAUUGCAUUAGUAAUAUUGCCUUUGGUUAUCAUUUCUGUAAAAUAUUGGGGUUAACAGUUCAACAGUUCCAUUGCUAUAGUCUUGUGUGUUUGUAUAUCUAAUUUCUUGACUGUUUUAACGGUGAAAUUUUAGUACAGUACUUUAAUAUAUCAGUAAAAUAUUCUAAGUUUGACUGUUAUUGUAACUGCUAUUUGAAUAGACUACGUUUAAAGGUCAUUAAAAUAUUUUGGUUUGCCAAGUUCCUCUUUGAAUCUUACCACAUUGUAACAUUUACCUUUAUUAAUUGAUUGCAUUACUGAUAUUGCUUUUGGUUAACAUUUUUGUACAA